UACGUAGGGUGCAAGCGUUAAUCGGAAUUACUGGGCGUAAAGCGUGCGCAGGCGGUUUUGUAAGUCUGUCGUGAAAUCCCCGGGCUCAACCUGGGAAUUGCGAUGGAGACUGCAAGGCUAGAAUCUGGCAGAGGGGGUAGAAUUCCACGUGUGAGCAGUGAAAUGCGUAGAUAUCUGGAGGAACACCGGUGGCGAAGGCGACAUCCUGGACCGGUAUUGACGCUGAGGCGCGAAAGCCAGGGGA
rnacentral:rRNA from 1 species